AACGCACCUUGCGCUGUUUGGUUAUUCCGAACAGCAUGCCUGUUUGAGCGUCGCGAACCUCUCAACCCCGCCUUCGGGUCGUGGGCUUGGAUCUUGGUUGCUGCUGGCCUGGCCAGCUCGACUGAAAUGCAACAAGCUUCACCGUGCGGCUUGACCCAACGUUGUAACCUAUCUCGUUGGCUACGCAUCUGGUGGGGGCUUUCAAAUACAAAUCUUAUGAUCUAGACCUCAAAUCAGGUAGGACUACCCGCUGAACUUAA
rnacentral:misc_RNA from 1 species